GAUAAACGCUGGCGGCGUGCCUAACACAUGCAAGUCGAACGCCCUACGCUUGCGUAGGGAGUGGCGGACGGGUGAGGAACACGUGGGUCAUCUACCCAGAGGUGAGGAAUACCGGCGAGAAAUCGCCGACAAUACCGCAUACGUUCUGAAAAGAACAAAGUCGCAAGACGCCUUUGGAUGAGCCUGCGCCCGAUUAGUUAGUUGGUGGGUAAAGCCUACCAAGACUGCAAUCGGUAGCGGUCUGAGAGGACGAUCAGCCACACUGGGAUUGAGAA
rnacentral:rRNA from 1 species